UGCCCACAUGUGCAGUGGGGCCUGCUCAAGUCGCUUCAGGGCCCUCUUUUUUCCUUUUCUAACACAGUAGGAAGCCUUCCUCUGCCCUCUGGAAGCUUCUCUGGUGAGGAAUAGCAUUUGGAAACCUAGGUAGAAGGGCGAGAUGUGAGCAUUGAUGGCUGUACUUAGUCCAGCCCCUGCUUCCUCACCUGCCCACCCCGUCCUGGCAUGGCACUGAUAUUGCAUGGAACUCACAGCACUGGGGAUUUUGUUCAGGCCUUCAUACGUGUCGGUGACAGACCCACACGUCUUGUCCAGCAUGUCUCACACAAGCCUGGAGCCUGGGUCACCACAAGACACCCCUCCCGCUGCAGCACCUCCCACCUUCUGCUCAGCUGCAGAAGACAAAGAAGAUGAAAAACAUGUAGUUUGCUUUCUUGCCAGACUGAUUUGUUUUGGGAAACAAGUUAACAUGUACUAGGUUUAUCACUAUUUUUUUUAAAGAGAGAUAAUUUUUUUAAUAUUUAUUUUUUAGUUUUCGGUGGACACAAUGUCUUUAUUUUAUUUUUAUGUGGUGCUGAGGAUCGAACCCAGUGCCCCGCGCAUGCCAGGGGAGCGUGCUACUGCUUGAGCCACAUCCCCAGCCCUAUCACUAUUGUUAAACAAGCUAAUGCUUUUAAGAGUUUUGGUUUUGAUUUGUGAUGCACCGACUGUCCAGAGCUACAGCCCCCUGUCCUCCUACUUGGCCUCAGCUCCUCAUCCUCUCAGUGGAUCAGCCAGCGUUUAGUCAGGUGGGUCCCCAGCCCAGCUCUUCUCCUGAUGGGUGCAGAGUAUGCAGGGAGGGGAUGUGGGUUCAUGGCAUAGCCUGCCUUCUGCUUGAUUUUGGAUAGGAAGCAGCUUUCUUUGAAAGAAGCUCAGUCUUAACUGGCCUGAUUUGUGAGGUAAGUCCUGCCUCUCCCUGCCCAGCCAACUUGCAGGUUUCAGGCUGUGUGAGCCCCUCUCUGUCCUGAAGCAAAGCCAGGUGCAAGCUGGUUGCUGGUGACCUGGGCCACCUUGCAUGGGGUCUCGCCUCUGGCUCAGCUCUCAAGGCAGCUGUCUAAGCAAAGACUGGUUGACCUGUCCCUGCCACACUUCCCCUGUUCC
rnacentral:lncRNA from 1 species